GGCUCAGGAUGAACGCUAGCGACAGGCCUAACACAUGCAAGUCGAGGGGCAGCACAAGGAGCAAUCUGAGGUGGCGACCGGCGCACGGGUGAGUAACACGUAUGCAACCUGCCUGUAAGCGGGGAAUAACCCGUUGAAAGACGGACUAAUACCGCAUAAUACUAAAUUACUGCAUGGUAAUUUAUUUAAACAUUUAUGGCUUACAGAUGGGCAUGCGCAUGAUUAGCUAGUUGGAGAGGUAACGGCUCCCCAAGGCAACGAUCAUUAGGGGUUCUGAGAGGAAGGUCCCCCCACACUGGUACUGAGACACGGACCAGACUCCUACGGGAGGCAGCAGUGAGGAAUAUUGGUCAAUGGACGAGAGUCUGAACCAGCCAAGUCGCGUGCAGGAAGAAUUGUCCUAUGGAUUGUAAACUGCUUUUGCAGGGGAAUAAAGUGCAUCACGUGUGAUGUUUUGUAUGUACUCUGCGAAUAAGGAUCGGCUAACUCCGUGCCAGCCGCGGC
rnacentral:rRNA from 1 species